rnacentral:rRNA from 1 species
UCCGUAGGCGGGCGACUAAGUCAGAGGUGAAAUCCCACAGCUUAACUGUGGAACUGCCUUUGAUACUGGUUGUCUUGAGUUAUAGUGAAGUGGAUAGAAUAUGUAGUGUAGCGGUGAAAUGCUUAGAUAUUACAUAGAAUACCGAUUGCGAAGGCAGUCUACUAACUAUAUACUGACGCUAAUGGACGAAAGCGUGGGGAGCGAACAGGAUUAGAUACCCUGGUAGUCC